UUUUUUUUUUCAGUAUUCCCUCUGCAUGUGUAUGGAUGUUCCAUUCCACUUCAGUAUGCUGGACAUGCAUUCAAUCUGGCGGUGGUGGUGUGUCCUCCUUAUGGAGCGCUUUUGGAUUGACGGGUAUGACAGCUACAAGAAAUACAUGAUUGAUUGCUUUUCUUUAAUAUUUACAGAGACUGGAAAAUGUGCUAACAUUUUUCAUCAUUUUCAUUAAAGCCACAGCCAGAGGUUUGCUUUCUGGACAGAUGAGGCGAGUUGUCUGUUACAGGGCAUUCUUCAGCCGGUGUACCGGGUGGGCACGGGAACUACCAUGGAGGUCCCAGCACAUAUCCAGGCCAUCGCUGAGCGGACAGCCACCGAUCAGGCACUGGUUGACUUCAUUGUCAAGGAGCGCUGGACCGAGGAACAACUACUGGAAAUCAUCAGUGACAAGGAACCCUCCAAGUGGCUGAUGGGUUUCCAAGGGAAGUCGCCUAAACAAAGUCCCAGUGUACCUUGACAAUGACGCCCAGCAGGACAGGUUGUUCAAGUACCUCGAGACUGUCCUGAACAGUAUAUCCUCUCCAGUUGUCAUCAGGAAUCAUAUACUGUUCAUUCUAGAGGUGUUGUUCCCAGAGGCUAUCAUCGGUGCACUUUCUGCUCUUGGGAAGAUGACCCUGCAGAAGGCAGCGGAGGAGUUCUCCGCUGGCACACAUCUCCAGGAGAG